rnacentral:rRNA from 1 species
AGUGAACGCUGGCGGUAGGCCUAACACAUGCAAGUCGAACGGCAGCACAGUAAGAGCUUGCUCUUACGGGUGGCGAGUGGCGGACGGGUGAGGAAUACAUCGGAAUCUACUUUUUCGUGGGGGAUAACGUAGUGAAACUUACGCUAAUACCGAAUACGACCUACGGGUGAAAGCAGGGGAUCUUCGGACCUUGCCCGAUUGAAUGAGCCGAUGCCGGAUUAGCUAGUUGGCGGGGUAACGGCCCACCAAGGCGACGAUCCGUAGCUGGUCUGAGAGGAUGAUCAGCCACACUGGAACUGAGACACGGUCCAGACUCCUACGGGAGGCAGCAGUGGGGAAUAUUGGACAAUGGGCGCAAGCCUGAUCCAGCCAUACCGCGUGGGUGAAGAAGGCCUUCGGGUUGUAAAGCCCUUUUGUUGGGAAAGAAAAGCAGCAGGUUAAUACCCCGCUGUUCUGACGGUACCCAAAGAAUAAGCACCGGCUAACUUCGUG